rnacentral:misc_RNA from 1 species
AAAAUGAAAGGAAGCAAAAUGACAGUGGAAAAUAACAAGAAAUCAUCAUGCAUAUCAGUCCCAAAUUCUAUCAACAAGAGUAAAGGGCAGAGAGAUAGGCAAGCUACCAUACCCAAUGAAGAUGUUGACAGACCAAUCUUGAAGACCUAAAAAUGUAAAAUAAAUUCAGAAGGUAAGAACUCACAGCUGUGAGGUGCUGGUGGU